GACGAACGCUGGCGGCGUGCUUAACACAUGCAAGUCGAACGCUGAAGCCCUUCGGGGUGGAUGAGUGGCGAACGGGUGAGUAACACGUGGGUAAUCUGCCCUGCACUCUGGGAUAAGCCUUGGAAACGGGGUCUAAUACCGGAUAGGACACAUCGCCGCAUGGUGUGUGUGUGGAAAGUUCCGGCGGUGCAGGUUGAGCCCGCGGCCUAUCAGCUUGUUGGUGGGGUGAUGGCCUACCAAGGCGACGACGGGUAGCCGGCCUGAGAGGGUGACCGGCCACACUGGGACUGAGACACGGCCCAGACUCCUACGGGAGGCAGCAGUGGGGAAUCUUGCGCAAUGGGCGAAAGCCUGACGCAGCAACGCCGCGUGGGGGAUGACGGCCUUCGGGUUGUAAACCUCUUUCGACCGGGACGAAGGAUUCGUUUGACGAUACCGGUAGAAGAAGCACCGGCUAACUACGUGCCAGCAGCCGCAGUAAGAC
rnacentral:rRNA from 1 species